GUGAGGAAUAUUGGGCAAUGCCCGCAAGGGUGACCCAGCAACGCCGCGUGGAGGAUGAAUGUCGUAAGAUUGUAAACUCCUGUUAGAGGGGAAGAAUAGUACCGGUUGGACCGGUAUAUGCCUGUACCCUCAGAGGAAGCCCCGGCUAACUACGUGCCAGCAGCCGCGGUAAUACGUAGGGGGCAAGCGUUGUCCGGAUUUACUGGGUGUAAAGGGCGCGCAGGCGGAAUGGAAAGUCAGUGGUGAAAUCCUACAGCUUAACUGUAGAACUGCUAUGAUACUUUCAUUCUUGAGUUCGGGAGAGAGAGACGGAAUUCCAGGUGUAGUGGUGAAAUACGUAGAUAUCUGGAAGAACACCAGUUGCGAAGGCGGUCUCUUGGUCCGAUACUGACGCUGAGGCGCGAAAGCGUGGGGAGCAAACA
rnacentral:rRNA from 1 species